rnacentral:rRNA from 1 species
UACGAGGGGAGCAAGCGUUGUUCGGAUUUACUGGGCGUAAAGGGCGCGUAGGCGGCGUGACUAGUCACUUGUGAAAUCUCCGGGCUUAACUCGGAACGGUCAAGUGAUACUGUCGUGCUAGAGUACAGAAGGGGCAACUGGAAUUCUCGGUGUAGCGGUGAAAUGCGUAGAUAUCGAGAGGAACACCUGCGGCGAAGGCGGGUUGCUGGGCUGAUACUGACGCUGAUGCGCGAAAGCCAGGGGAGCAAACCGG